rnacentral:rRNA from 1 species
AGAGUUUGAUCAUGGCUCAGAUUGAACGCUGGCGGUAGGCCUAACACAUGCAAGUCGAACGCGAAAGUCCUUCGGGAUGAGUAGAGUGGCGGACGGGUGAGUAACGCGUAGGAAUCUAUCCUGUAGUGGGGAUAACGUCUCGAAAGGAACGCUAAUACCGCAUACGCCCACGGGGAAGCGGGGAUCUUCGGACCUCGUGCUAUAGGAGGAGCCUGCGUCGGAUUAGCUAGUUGGUGAGGUAAAGGCUCACCAAGGCGACGAUCCGUAGCUGGUCUGAGAGGAUGAUCAGCCACACCGGAACUGAGACACGGUCCGGACUCCUACGGGAGGCAGCAGGUGGGGAAUAUUGCGCAAUGGGCGAAAGCCUGACGCAGCCAUACCGCGUGUGUGAAGAAGGCCUUCGGUUGUAAAGCACUUUCAGUGGGGAGGAAAAGCGGGUGGCUAAUAUCCAUCGGCCGUGACGCUACCCACAGAAGAAGCACCGGCUAAUUCCGUG